AAUUUGUGAUGUGGACAAUCUCUUUGAUAUUCUUUAAAUCUCUCCCAAGUAUCAUCAAGAUCUUUGUCCUCCUUUUGUUUGAAAUUUCUUAUCUUGUUUCUGAAGAG
rfam:Eutrema salsugineum unplaced genomic scaffold scaffold_6, whole genome shotgun sequence.